UACAGAGGGGGCAAGCGUUGUUCGGAAUUACUGGGCGUAAAGGGCGCGUAGGCGGCCUUCUAAGUCGAACGUGAAAUCUCCGGGCUUAACCCGGAGCGGCCAAGUGAUACUGUCGUGCUAGAGUGCGGAAGGGGCUACUGGAAUUCUCGGUGUAGCGGUGAAAUGCGUAGAUAUCGAGAGGAACACCUGCGGCGAAGGCGGGUAGCUGGGCCGACACUGACGCUGAGGCGCGAAAGCCAGGGGAGCGAACGGG
rnacentral:rRNA from 1 species